GACGAACGCUGGCGGCGUGCUUAACACAUGCAAGUCGAACGGUGACCUCGAGAGCUUGCUCUCGGGCGAUCAGUGGCGAACGGGUGAGUAACACGUGAGUAACCUGCCCCAGACUCUGGAAUAACCCCGGGAAACCGGAGCUAAUACCGGAUACGAGACGGAGUCGCAUGGCUACCGUCUGGAAAGUUUUUCGGUCUGGGAUGGACUCGCGGCCUAUCAGCUUGUUGGUGAGGUAACGGCUACCCAAGGCGACGACGGGUAGCCGGCCUGGGAGGGCGAACGGCCACACUGGGACUGAGACACGGCCCAGACUCCUACGGGAGGCAGCAGUGGGGAAUAUUGCACAAUGGGCGAAAGCCUGAUGCAGCGACGCCGCGUGAGGGAUGACGGCCUUCGGGUUGUAAACCUCUUUCAGCAGGGAAGAAGCGAAAGUGACGGUACCUGCAGAAGAAGCACCGGCUAACUACGUGCCAGCCGCCGCUGUAAAAC
rnacentral:rRNA from 1 species